CAGUCGCCACGGUAAUACAGAGGGUGCGAGCGUUAAUCGGAUUUACUGGGCGUAAAGCGUGCGUAGGCGGCUAAUUGAGUCGGAUGUGAAAUCCCCGAGCUUAACUUGGGAAUUGCAUUCGAUACUGGUUAGCUAGAGUGUGGGAGAGGAUGGUAGAAUUCCAGGUGUAGCGGUGAAAUGCGUAGAGAUCUGGAGGAAUACCGAUGGCGAAGGCAGCCAUCUGGCCUAAUACUGACGCUGAGGUACGAAAGCAUGGGGAGCAAACAGGAUUAGAUACCCCGGUAGUCCCUGUCUCUUAUAA
rnacentral:rRNA from 1 species